UGGGGAAUAUUGGGCAAUGGGCGCAAGCCUGACCCAGCAACGCCGCGUGAGGGAAGAAGGCCUUCGGGUUGUAAACCUCUGUCCUAUGGGAAGAAAAAAUGACGGUACCAUAGGAGGAAGCUCCGGCUAACUACGUGCCAGCAGCCGCGGUAAUACGUAGGGAGCGAGCGUUGUCCGGAAUUACUGGGCGUAAAGGGUGCGUAGGCGGUUAUUUAAGUCAGAUGUGAAAUACUUGAGCUUAACUCAGGGGCUGCAUCUGAUACUGGGUGACUAGAGUGCAGGAGAGGAAAGUGGAAUUCCUAGUGUAGCGGUGGAAUGCGUAGAUAUUAGGAGGAACACCAGUGGCGAAGGCGACUUUCUGGACUGUAACUGACGCUGAGGCACGAAAGUAUGGGUAGCAAACAGGAUUAGAUACC
rnacentral:rRNA from 1 species